rnacentral:rRNA from 1 species
ACUACGGGUGGCAGCAGUGGGGGAUAUUGCACAAUGGGGGAAACCCUGAUGCAGCGACGCCGCGUGUGGGAAGACGGUCCUCUGGAUUGUAAACCACUGUCCCCAGGGACGAAGAUGACGGUACCUGGGGAGGAAGCUCCGGCUAACUACGUGCCAGCAGCCGCGGUAAUACGUAGGGAGCGAGCGUUGUCCGGAAUUACUGGGUGUAAAGGGAGCGUAGGCGGGACUGCAAGUUGGGUGUCAAAUCUACCGGCUCAACCGGUAGCCGCACUCAAAACUGCAGUUCUUGAGUGAAGUAGAGGCAGGCGGAAUUCCUAGUGUAGCGGUGAAAUGCGUAGAUAUUAGGAGGAACACCAGUGGCGAAGGCGGCCUGCUGGGCUUUUACUGACGCUGAGGCUCGAAAGUGUGGGGAGCAAACAGGAUUAGAUACCCGGGUAGUC